rnacentral:rRNA from 1 species
GUGGGGAAUUUUGGACAAUGGGCGAAAGCCUGAUCCAGCCAUGCCGCGUGCAGGAUGAAGGCCUUCGGGUUGUAAACUGCUUUUGUACGGAACGAAAAAGUUCUCUCUAAUACAGGGGGCGAAUGACGGUACCGUAAGAAUAAGCACCGGCUAACUACGUGCCAGCAGCCGCGGUAAUACGUAGGGUGCGAGCGUUAAUCGGAAUUACUGGGCGUAAAGCGUGCGCAGGCGGUUAUAUAAGACAGAUGUGAAAUCCCCGGGCUCAACCUGGGAAAUGCAUUAGUGACUGUAUAGCUAGAGUGCGGCAGAGGGGGAUGGAAUUCCGCGUGUAGCAGUGAAAUGCGUAGAUAUGCGGAGGAACACCGAUGGCGAAGGCAAUCCCCUGGGCCUGCACUGACGCUCAUGCACGAAAGCGUGGGGAGCAAACAGGAUUAGAUACCCGAGUAGUCC